rnacentral:tRNA from 1 species
GCAGUCGUGGCCCAGUGGUUAAGGUGAUGGACUAGAAAUCCAUUGGGGUCUCCCCGCACAGGUUCGAAUCCUGUAGACUGUG